ACCCCAAUGAGACCAACGGAAACGCCCAUGCCAACUCCCGUCAGCGGGUCAGGAAGCUGACCAAAGAUGGGCUGAUUAUCUGGAAGCCCAUGACUGUCCAUUCCGGGGCUCACUGCCAGAAAAGCACCUUGGCCCUAGGGAAGGGCAGGCAUAUGGGCAUAGGGAAGAGGAAGGGUACUGCCAACGCUCGGAUGCCCGAGAAGGUGACCUAGAUGAGAAGGAUGAGGAUCCUGCACUGGCUUCUCAGGAGACAUUGGGAAUCUAAGAAGAUUGACUGCCAUAUUAUCACAGCCUGUACCUGAGGGUCAAAGGGAAUGUAUUCAAAAACAAGUGGAUUCACACAGAGCACAUCCACAAACUGAAGGCAGACCAGGCCCGCAGAAGCUACUGGCUGACCAGG
rnacentral:lncRNA from 1 species